rnacentral:rRNA from 1 species
UUGAACGCUGGCGGCAGGCCUAACACAUGCAAGUCGAGCGGAUGAAGGGAGCUUGCUCCUGGAUUCAGCGGCGGACGGGUGAGUAAUGCCUAGGAAUCUGCCUGGUAGUGGGGGAUAACGUCCGGAAACGGGCGCUAAUACCGCAUACGUCCUGAGGGAGAAAGUGGGGGAUCUUCGGACCUCACGCUAUCAGAUGAGCCUAGGUCGGAUUAGCUAGUUGGUGGGGUAAAGGCCUACCAAGGCGACGAUCCGUAACUGGUCUGAGAGGAUGAUCAGUCACACUGGAACUGAGACACGGUCCAGACUCCUACGGGAGGCAGCAGUGGGGAAUAUUGGACAAUGGGCGAAAGCCUGAUCCAGCCAUGCCGCGUGUGUGAAGAAGGUCUUCGGAUUGUAAAGCACUUUAAGUUGGGAGGAAGGGCAGUAAGUUAAUACCUUGCUGUUUUGACGGUACCAACAGAAUAAGCACCGGCUAACUUCGUG